GAUGAAGAACGUAGCGAAAUGCGAUAAGUAGUGUGAAUUGCAGAAUUCAGUGAAUCAUCGAAUCUUUGAACGCACAUUGCGCCCCUUGGUAUUCCGGGGGGCAUGCCUGUUCGAGCGUCAUUAUAACCCCUCAAGCUCAGCUUGGUGUUGGGGCCUGCCGACUGGCAGCCCUUAAAAUCAGUGGCGGCGCCAUCUGGCUCUAAGCGUAGUAAUUUCUCUCGCUAUAGAGUCCCGGUGGAUGCUUGCCAGCAACCCCCAACUUUCUAUGGUUGACCUCGGAUCAGGUAGGGAUACCCGCUGAACUUAAGCAUAUCAAUAAGCGGAGGA
rnacentral:misc_RNA from 1 species